AUUGAACGCUGGCGGCAUGCCUUACACAUGCAAGUCGAACGGCAGCACGGGAGCAAUCCUGGUGGCGAGUGGCGAACGGGUGAGUAAAGUAUCGGAACGUGCCCAGUCGUGGGGGAUAACGUAGCGAAAGUUACGCUAAUACCGCAUACGAUCUAUGGAUGAAAGCGGGGGAUCGCAAGACCCCGCGCGAUUGGAGCGGCCGAUAUCAGAUUAGGUAGUUGGUGGGGCAAAGGCUCACCAAGCCGACGAUCUGUAGCUGGUCUGAGAGGACGACCAGCCACACUGGGACUGAGACACGGCCCAGACUCCUACGGGAGGCAGCAGUGGGGAAUUUUGGACAAUGGGCGAAAGCCUGAUCCAGCCAUGCCGCGUGCAGGAUGAAGGCCUUCGGGUUGUAAACUGCUUUUGUACGGAACGAAAAGGUUUGGCCUAAUAAGCUGAGCUCAUGACGGUACCGUAAGAAUAAGCACCGGCUAACUACGUGCCAGUCGCCGCGGUAA
rnacentral:rRNA from 1 species